AUGGCAAUGGGCAGUGCCAGCAGUGGCUGUGGCAUCCUGGAGCAGGAGGAUUUGGUGUGGUUCUAGUGUGGCACAGGCCAGAGUGAUGAUUCUGACAUUUGGGAUGCUACAGCACUGCUAAAAGUGGAUGAUAAAGCCGUGGCUUCAUUUAAACCAUGCUCUAAAGAAUGGUAAUAUUUGUGAAACUUCAGAUAAAUCAAAAUGUAUGCCUAAUAGAAAGCCUUCUAAGAAGAAUAAAAGCCCCCCCCCCCAAAAAAAAAAAGAAUACUGCAACUUUCUUGAAGUAGUGAAAAGUUGGGCACAAAUGUUUUGCCAUUUGGUCAGAAGACAGUGGCAUUUACCCAGCUACCAUUGCUUCUGUUGAUCUGAAGAGAGGAAGCUGUGUUGUGGUUUACACUGGAUAUAGAAGUAGGAGCUAAUCUGUGUGAUCUAGUUUCUUCAACCUCUGUAGCUAAUAUAGGACAGAAUGCUCAAGAGAAUGAAAACGAAAGUCAAGAUUCAGUGGAGGAAAGUGAGAACUCCAGAUCCUGGAAACAAAUCAUGUAGUAUCAGGUCAAAAGCUACUCCAUGGAAUUCUUUUCUCCCUCCACCAAACCCCAUGCCAGCAUCAGGACUGGGACCAGGAAAGCCAGGUCAGAUCUAAAAUUCAAUAGCCCACCAUCCAUACCACCCUACUUCCUAUCAUGCCGGCUGCCUCCAUUUCCUUCUGGACCACGAAUAAUCCCCCCACCACCUCUCACAUGACUAGAUUUUCUUGAUGAUGAUAAUACUUUAGGAAGUAUGUUAAUCUCUUGGUACAUGAGUGGCUAUCAUUCUGGCUACUAUACAGGGUAUGGAAAAUCAAAAAGAAGGAAGGUGCUCACAUUCCGAUUAA